AAAAAAAAAACCCCCCAAAAAAACAAAAGGGAAAGACAGAGAGGAUAAGAGAAGAAUGACCUUGAGGAAUAAGGAGAGUAGAGAGAGAGAGAUUAAGUGGGAAAAUGAGUAGAAAGUAUGUAGAUAGCUAGUGGGGGAAGAAGAUAAAGAGUGUGAGGAGUAGAUAAGAAAGAGUAAACAGAAAGGAUGGGGAAAGAAAAGGUGAGGAGGAAAUUGGGAAAGUGGUGGAUGGAUAAGAGAGAGAGAUAAGGAAGGAGAACAGAUGAAGAUAACUAUCAAUGGGUCUUUGCUUUGAAAAACAGAAAAUCAGGAACAGAGCCAGAAGGGGAAUAAAAAUUGCCCAACCUGGGCAAAUGGAAGUCCAGGAGAAAUUCACCAUGGGAGAAGGGGAUUGGCCUGAUUGCAGGAUGAGAAGGUUGCAGGAAAGUUAUAUGUUCUAAAGAGAGGAGACUCUGGGAAUUAAGGAAAGUUCCAGGAUGAGACAGCAAGUGAUACAUGGUUUUAAAAUCCAGAAAGUCAGGGACAGAACCAGGAAGGAAAUGAAGGAUGACUGCUGGCAUGGACCCCUUCACAAAAUGGAGGCCAUAGAAGGAACUUAACCAUAGGAGAAAGGGGCCAAGGUGUGAAGACUUGUGUACCUAUGGAAUUAUAGAAUCUUAGAGUUGAAGGAACCUCAGAAAUCAUUUACCCAACACCAAAUAGACUUCUCCUCUAUAACCUCCAUGACAGAUGGGUGUCCACACUCAGUAUGAAAAUUUCUGAUGAUUAUCCCUUAUUCUCAAUCAAUCAUACAUUGCCACUCAUUGUGCUCAGUACUGAGGAUACAAAAAGUAAAGACAGACUUUGCCCUUAAGAAGCUUAUUAUCUAUUCUUAUCUCCAUAUAUGAUUAGCCUUUUUUUUUUUUUUUUUCAGUCAGGACACUUCUUGUGCACAAUUCAUCAUUGAUAAUUUUUUUAAAAUUACUUUAGCAUCUUAGUUUUCACAGCUACAUGUAAAAACAAUUUUUAAUGUUCAUUUUUAAAACUCUGAAUUCUAAAUUCCCUUCCUUUCUCCCUACCCACCUCCCUCAUUGCAAUUUAAGCAAUUCGAUGUGGGUUAUACAUGUGUAGUCAUGCAAAAACAUUUCCAUAAUAGUCGUGUUGUGAAUAAUGAUAUUUUGUCCAUUCUGUCUUUUUAUAAUCCUUUUGGUAAAUCACAAUUUUGACUCCUUAGGAAUUAUGUUAUUUCACUGUUUGUAGUUAUAUGGUACAUUGGAAGAUUUCUUUUUGUCAGACUUGUAAUUUCAUCAUUAUAAGGAGUCUCCAUGGAGGAUCUUCCUUUAUCAAUGUAUCCUGGCAUCUUCUCAGUGACAUAUAGUCUUAGAGAAUUGAUAAUAUUCAGGACAAUACAAAUUAUUAUCAUAUGAUCUUUAAUAUUUAAAACUACAUUAAGAUCGGGAGUAAAACAAGGUUGCCCACUAUCACCGUUACCAUUUAAUAUUGUAUUAGAAAUGCUAGCUAUGGCAAUGGGAGCAGA
rnacentral:lncRNA from 1 species